CUAUGUUGGAGGACUACCUUCGGCACUUUGUGCGAGGUACGCAGAAGGAUUGGGUGAAGCUCCUGGAUGUCGCUCAGCUGUGUUUCAAUGCUCAAAGAACCGCUUUAUUCUAUGUUGGAGGACUACCUUCGGCACUUUGUGCGAGGUACGCAGAAGGAUUGGGUGAAGCUCCUGGAUGUCGCUCAGCUGUGUUUCAAUGCUCAAAAGAGCUCUUCGCCUAACAAGAGCGCUUUUGAAAUCGUCACUGGACAGCAGCCGCUCCUUCCUCACACUCUUGACAUCCCACAAAGUGUGAGAUCCCCUCUUGCUCGAAGUUUCUCCCAGGAGUGGAAGCAGAAUGUUGAUAUCGCUAAAAGUUGCCUGGAGACAGCCCAGAAGCGGAUGAAGAAGUAUGCAGAUCAGAAUCGCCGCUUCGUUGAGUUCAAUGCGGGAGACCUGGUGCUGGUGAAGGUCCCGGAUCCGAGAUUGUCAAAGUCAUCAAGGGGGAGAGAUCCUCGGUUGAUGCAGAAAUAUGUUGGUCCUUUGCCGGUCCUUAGGCGUAUUGGGACGGUAGCAUACAAGGUGGAGCUGCCGCCGUGGUGGAAGAUCCACAACGUCUUCCAUGUCAGCCAAUUGAAGAAGUAUUCAGCAGACAGGGAAGACGAUACCCGCAAUCAACCCAGCCGCCCACAACUCGAAUUGAAGAAGACGGAGAAGACGGUGGCUGAAGCGAUCCUAGAUCACCGAGUGACGAGUACCGCGAAGAAAGACCACACAGAGUACUUGGUGAAAUGGAGGGGAUGCAGCAGCGAGGAGAACACUUGGGAGCGAGUGACGAACCUAAAGGCGUUUCUACCCCUUGGCGAAGCGUACCAUGCUUCCGUAGCGCCGGGGACGUCGCUAUCUCAGGUGGGGGAGAAUGUCACGGGCUGCCCGCACACUAGGCCCCCGUGACGCGCACUUCGGCCACUCAACCGUUCUACAUGGCCGACCACUCAGCCUUCAUCGACAGACGACGGACACCCAACUGUGUUAGAGUCUUAGGUGUAAGCCUUUUAUUGAUUUGUUACUGCUUUGUUAUUUGCUUUAUGUUGUUUAGAUUCCUCAAGGGGACGUUACGCCUCUUGAGUUGCAAAUUUCAGCUUUCCUAGUGUCUAGUGUAGGCGAUAGGAUUUAUUUUUUUAAGCCUAUUAUAGGGGGGAAUGAGUUCAAGAAGCUUGGUUUAGUGACGUGUUGGAGUCCCCCUCAAGGCGAACCCCUUGCUCUAGCAUCGUUGAUCAUUGUAUACGCAUUUUCAGUUCAAUGCAAUUUGGUUUUCUGAAUCCGCGUGCGCAAUUUACUGUUUUGUGAUUUGUUCCUCCCGACUCUGAUAUAUUCGGCGCGCUGCAUUUGUGCCGAGCGGAGGUAUUGGCGGACGUAGUCAGCGGACUACUAGCCACACGACGCGCUAUGUGAUAGGCGCCUCGUGAGACAUGGGGAGGUAGUGACAAUAAAUAACAAUACUGGGCUCUACGAGUCUUGUAAUUGGAAUGUGUACAAUCUAAAACAAAGCAUUGUGAUGGUCCCUGCGGAUGCUCACGCAAUGUUAUUUCUGCCCAGUGCUCUGAAUGUCAAAGUGAAGAAAUUCAACCAAGUGCGGGUAAAUGGAGGGAGUAACUAUGACUCUCUUAAGGUAGCCAAAUGCCUCGUCAUCUAAUUAGAGACGAGCAUGAAUGUAUUAACGAGAUUCCCAUUGUCCCUAUCUACUAUCCAGCGAAACCACAGCCAAGGGAAUGGGCUUGGUGGAAUCAGCGAGGAAAGAAGACCCUGUUGAGCUUGACUCUAGUCCGACUUUGUGAAAUCACUUAAGAGUUGUAGGAUAAGUGGGAGCCGAAAGGUGAAAGUGAAAUACCACUACUUUUAACGUUAUUUUACUUAUUUUGUGAAUCGGAGGCGGGGCACCGCCCCUCCUUUUGGACCCAAGGCACGCUCUGACGGGCUGAUCUGGGCGGAAUACAUUGUCAGGUGGGGAGUUUAGUUGGGGUGGCACAUCUGUUAAAAGAUAACGUAGGUGUCCUAAGAUGAGCUCUACGAGAAUAGAAAUCUCGUGUGGAAUAGAAGGGUAAAUGCUCAUUUCUAUUCUGAUUUCCAGUAUAAAUACAUACCGUGAAAGCGUGGCCUAACGAUCAUUUAGACCUUUAAAAUUUGAAGCUAGACGUGUCAGAAAAAUUACCACAGGGAUAACUGGCUUGUGGCAACCAAACAUUCAUAGUGACUUUGCUAUUUCAUCCUUCGAUGACGACUCUUUCUACCAUUGUGAAGCAUAAUUCACCAAGUAUUUGAUUGUUCACACACCAAUAGGAAACGUGAGCUGGGUUUAGACCAUCGUGAGAUAGAUUAGUUUUACCCGACUGAUGACGUCGUCGCAAUAGUAAUUAAACCUAGUACGAGAGGAACCAUUGAUUCGCACAAUUGGUCCUCGCGCUUGGUUGAAAAACCAGUGACGCAAAGCCACCAUGCGCCGGAUUAUGACUCAACGCUUCUAAGUUAAUAUUUGCGCUAAAAGCGACGCAUACGCCCACCGUCCGCUUGUCGACCCGCCGUAGGGGCCCCAGGGUCCCCAAGGGCACGUGUCGUUAGCCAAACCAUCGCGGAAGACGAGCCGCGCUGGCCGCCUUGAAAUACAAUCCCAUCGAGCGGCGGGUAGAAUCAUUUGCAAAUGACUUAGAUACGCGACGGGGUAUUGUAAGCGGUAGAGUGUCACUGCUGCCACGAUUAGCUAAAAUUCAACCCUU
rnacentral:rRNA from 1 species